CAGCAAGCAAAAUUCUUGCCCUGUAGAUUGACAGGGCAAGAGGAGUGAUCGCAGAAAGCAGGAACCGUUUGGACUUGUCCAUGUGAUUCCGGGAAGGAAGCCGAAGGGGAGUGACGUGGCUGAGCACGCUCCGCUGGGAGUCCCCUGGGCACAGACACCCCGGCGCCCAAGGCUUCCAUCUCCAGCCUUCCCUGCUUCACAGCCUCCAGUCCCCAGCUCCGGUCUCGGUCUCGUGGAGGCUACUCCUCUCCAGGGACACUUGUGCCUCCCUCCCUUCUACCCGCAGCCCCUACCCGCUGCCCACCAUCACCUUUGACCUCCCAAGUAGGUUUCAGUGCUAUGCCGCCUCACUCCCAAACCUCAGGAGCACAGACAAACCGAUGGCAACACUUCGAGCAGAUGCUUUAUUGAUUUAAAGAAAGUAACUCUUCAGCCACAAAAUUAAGUUCUCACAUAUGCAAAUGUGCCUCUACACAUAAAGCAGCCUCUCACUCUAUGACAGUUUUCUGCCAAGGAACUCAAAGCACCUGGAACCCCUUCUGUCCUCACCAUACCUCACUGAAGGUGGGGGAGUUUUCUUCUGUCCAACAGGUUUGAAAGCUCAGGUUCACAGUCUCUGAGCGGCUGGCCAUCCUCAGCCAGUCCUUGCCAGUGACUCCCAGCUUCACAGCCAGAGACAGAUCACCCUGUCAACCCAGGCCAUCUCAUGGCUUAACAGCCCCUUCCUUCACAAGAAAAGAACAAAGAAUCCAGGUGGUGGGGUGAAACACUGUGCAUUUAAAUGGUAAGAUUAGUCAGUAGGUCAGCAAGUGACUAGCAAGGUAAAUCCGUUUCCCCCUCUCUCCCCCUCCCCUUCUUUUUGUAAGACUGGCUAUUGAAUUAUGUGUAGAAUGUUUCAGGUAUUACUGUCUAGUGUCUGCUUAGAAUGGAGAAGUUUUCAACUUACUCAAGUGUCUGUAUGGACUUGUGUCCAUCUGCUAACCAAGACCAUCAGGGAAUGGAGGCAGAGUUUGCAACACGUGGGUGCCUUCAGAAAGGUCCGUGUGAAACACAGAUUAUAUUGGUGUCAUGCGUGUCCUGCUAACGUAACAGAACUAGAUCACGUCCCUUUAACACAAAAUCUGGGUUUUUUUCCCCCCAAACUGUUGAUUACACAAUAAAUUUAUUAUUAUAUGUAAUGUUAUGUUGUUUUUGAAAUGCCUUUAUAUAUCUGUAUGUACAUCUCCAGCAGUAUUUCAGGGAAAUAUUAGAGGGAAAAGAAAAAAACAUUAUUUAGCCAUUUAACUUGAAAUAUUAUAAAAUAAUUCACAAUUUCCAUGCCAAAACCAACUUUGUUGACUCUUUACAGAGGAAACAGAUAGUUUGCCUUUUGGAAGCAAAUCUCGGCAAAAUGGUGAGUUGGUGGGACUUGUCUUUGGUAAUUUUGAUUUGCCAGAAUGAUAUCUCUUCUUCCUCAAGAGUAAAGACUUCUGGUGGCAUCGCAGAUACACUUCGAGUGUUCACUUAGCACAGAAGAGCAUGGCUGAAUGUUGUCGUUGGUCUCCUGUUUGUAUUAUUAAUUGCAUGCGAGUUGCGCUUUCCCAAAAUUUCAGUCCAGGACUUCCAGAGACUCCUAAAGACCCUAAUCUACCAUAAUACCUAGAGAGCUUUAGGAUUCCAUUGGUUGUUUAUUUUUUAAUACUGAAGAAUGUGACUUACGCGAGCUUUCGGAAAUUGAUUCAACUAAAACCUAAAUCUAAGAAGAUAAGGUAAAAUUACUUGGAAGAAAAAAGAGAUUUGAAGCACUUAUCCAGAUACUUUAGGAUAAAAGCAUCCUUUUGCAAAAAAUAUUUCAAAUGAGACAAAAUGAAUUUAUUGCAUGAAUCACAUGGACAGUGAUCUACAUCCUUCAAGUGACUUUUCUUAUGUAGCCAAUACGGUGUGCCACUUCAGUCCCUUCAGCAGCUCAUUUCCAAAUUUCCUUAUCUCUUGCCGCUGUCCUUUAUGUUGGCAGAAUUACAAUAGACUCAGACCCGUGUGCUUUGAGAGAAAACCUGGAGUGUUCUUGUGAACUCGCCAUUCAGUAGUUACCGAGACUCCGAAAAAGUUUGUCUGUGUUCCUCCUGACCGGUGGUUUCUGUCACCAUCGCAAACAUAAGACCUCCUGCAUCUGUUCCCAUAGCAACAGCCUCAUGGGUGACCUCUGGCAGGAGCUCUGUAGCGCCAGCGUGAGCAUCCCACGUGCCUGAGACAGUCUGGCCACCAGGAGGAGACUGGCUUUCCUCUCUCAUCCUUCUGCAGUACAAGAAGGAAGCCCCAUGCUCUGGCCCAGCUUGAGAUGCUGCAAACCCCUCAGCACAAGCUGCUGCCAGGUCUGGGGCAGGCCUGUGGCACCCAGCACCCUUCAGAAGACCAUCUGCCAGUCCUUUCCAGUUUUAGCCUCAAGAAGCUGCCCGAGCAGCAAGCUGGGGCCUGAUCCAGGCUCACAAAGAGAUUCUUCAUCCCUCCAGUCCUGGGCUGGCCCAGGCAGCAGCAAGCCAGACUCUCAGGCCCUCGUGGAAGCCAAAUAGACUCCCACCAAUGCCACAUACGGUCCUGGAGUCCCCAAAGCUGUUCUUGGACCUGGAGGUGGUCAGGGACAGAGAAGAGGACCAGCUGGGAACACCUAGAGAAGUGGAUGUUGGCGACAUGGGGACUCCAGCGUUCUGUGAUCUAACACAGCAGGGGCCCAGCCCCUCGGGUGCCACCGCUGCCCCACAUCAUAAGCCAUCGGGUGGGUUGUGCCAGGAGAGGCCUCUGGGCACACCUGCUUCAUGCCACUGCAUUCAACCGAAGCACCAAUAACACACAAACAAGCACCAGUGAAAAACCCAAAGCCUUAACAUCCUCUAGGAAACCCUGUGUCAAUUUCAUGAUUCGUAACAGACAUUGUUUUAGCAUGGAGCUUGUCCCUGGGGUGAUCCAGUUACUAAAUCAACAUCCACCGUCUCGAUCCAUGCACUCAUGCUCCUACCAAAACCAGUUCUGCAGCGCAACAGGGCAGUGUCACCGCAUCCUGACAGCUUUGUCCUGACGGGUCGCCGGGGCGUGUUUUCCUUGUUUACAUCAUUGUAUCACCAUGAAGGGGCAACAGCAGUUUUGUUCCAGCAGUGUUUUGGCCUUGGGUGGUUGCACGCUCCAUCCUAGAUUGGGCAUUCUUGCACACUGCACGUGUUUGUGGAGAGCAGUGCUCAUGGAAGGCAGUAAACCGUCCUUCCAUUCCAGAGCAUGGAUAGUUUACUUUUUUAAUCGUCACGUUUUAUCGAACCUGCUCGUGGUUCUUCCUCUCUUCCCCCCCGACCUUCUUCUCAUCUGCACUUUCCCGUCGUCUCUUUUCCACAAGAUGAAAGCACUGCUGAGAGGGGAACUCCAUCUCCUUCCAGAUAAAGGGAAGGAGCCUAAUUGUAAAUUUUAAAAAUAAUGUAAGAAACUGCUUAUGUUCUGUCAACAACCAAAAAACAGGAAGAAUUGUAUCUGUGAACUAUCAAGCUGUAUCUGUAAAUAGAUUAAAAAGCACAUUAUCUUUAAUUCAUCACUACAGACCUUGUAAUCUAUUGUAUAUUCAAAUGUUUUACUGUAUCAGAAAAAACAUGCGAUACAUUCAGAAAAGCUGGGAGAAUAAUUCAAAAUACAG
ensembl:lncRNA